AUGUAAGUUUUUGCGUGAAUUUUUAUUUAUUUWAAUAAUUAAUAAAUUUUAUAAUAUAUUCAGUAAUUAAAUUUAUUAAUCAAAGAAAUUUGUAAAUAGUAAUUUUAUUAAGUAUUGGCUAAUUUUGUGCCAGCAGCCGCGGUUACACAAAUAAUACAAAUAAAAAUUUUUAGUAAAAGUUAAAUUAUAUUUUAAUAAAAUAAAAAUAAAUUUAUUAGGUGAAAUUUUAAAUUUAUAAAUUUUUUUUUUAAAAAUAUUGAAUCUUGUAAAUUUUUGUAAUAAACUAGGAUUAGAUACCCUAUUAUUGAAAAUGUAAAUAAAAAUGCUAAAGUAGUAAUAGUUAUGUUCUUGAAACUUAAAAAAUUUGGCGGUAUUUUAGUCUAUUCAGAGGAACCUGUCCUAUAAUUGAUAAUCCACGAUGAACCUUACUUAAUCUUGUUUUUCAGUUUAUAUACCGUCGUUAUUAGAAUAUUUUAUAAGAAAAAUAAUUUUCUAAAAUUUUAAUAAAAAUUUAUAUCAGAUCAAGGUGUAGCUUAUGUUUAAGAAGAGAUGGGUUACAAUAAAUAAAUUUAGAUGGAUUUAAAUUUGAAAAAUUUUAAUAAAAGUGGAUUUGAUUGUAAAAUUAUAAAGAUUAAUAAUUUGAAUUUAGCUCUAAAAUAUGCACAUAUCGCCCGUCGCUCUUAUUAUUAAGGUAAGAUAAGUCGUAACAUAGUAGAUGUA
rnacentral:rRNA from 1 species